UACGGAGGGUGCAAGCGUUAUCCGGAUUCACUGGGUUUAAAGGGUGCGUAGGCGGGUAGAUAAGUCAGUGGUGAAAUCUCCGAGCUUAACUCGGAAACUGCCAUUGAUACUAUUUAUCUUGAAUAUUGUGGAGGUAAGCGGAAUAUGUCAUGUAGCGGUGAAAUGCUUAGAUAUGACAUAGAACACCAAUUGCGAAGGCAGCUUACUACACAAUGAUUGACGCUGAGGCACGAAAGCGUGGGGAUCAAACAGG
rnacentral:rRNA from 1 species